CAUUUCAGAAACUCUCUAAACCUUGUGUCCAUAUGAGGUACAAAAGCUUGAAUAUGUGACUCAAAGAUCAUCAAAGAAAAAAUUCCUUGCAAAAGGCCAUUUUUCUUGUAGUGUAAAGGAAUUUGAUGGGGUAUAUGGACCAGCAUGACACUGCAUUGUAGGAACAAAUUUUGGGUCUUUUGUCACACACUCAGCUUACUCAUCUAGCCUGAUAGAUAUAGAAAGGGAUUAUCUUUCAAUGGAUAAAUGAUAUCCCAGGCUCUUUAUACCCUUAGAAUUCUA